UACGGCCACAUCAAGUUUAUACAUCGCUUCCCGUACAAUCAUCGAAGUUAAGCUUCGUCGGUCCUGGUCAGUAAUUAGAUGAGUGACCAUUUGGGAAUAGAAUGUACCGUAA